rnacentral:lncRNA from 1 species
UUUGACUUUUCUGAUGUGUUAAUUUCGCUUACCAGGUUAAUGUUAAUAUUUUUCUCUCUAUUCUCUCUCUACCAAUACUUAUCCUUACACCAGAGGGUGGUCGCAGAGGGGCCCUCCCAUCUCUGCGACGAGCCUAACGGUUUGCUGUUUUGCAGGUGAAGGUUCUCAUCUCCAACAAGAUCCUAUUCCCCAUUUACAGGCUUUGGCCUUGAUCAAUUUUGGAUCUUCAAUUAGAAUAUAUAGCCGUCUCUUAUGACCUUGUUUCGGAGCAAACUUAUGAUAGUCAAAAAUGUCUUUAACUGAGAAGAUGUAAAAAGGAGGGAGUUUACAUCAUGAAUUGAUAUGCUGCUAAAGAGAUAUGGUCCCAGUUCACCGCAGGUCCGAAGAAAGCCCAACAAAAGCUUUCCAGUACGCAUAGGCCAUAGUGAACUGAUACAGAUCUGUUAGUAACGGCGUUACCAUUGGAUUGGUGGGACCGGCGAUUGUGGCCGGCCGAUGACUCAUGUCGCCGUUAACUUGAGGUUUCACGUCCAUUCUGAAUAAUCAAUGAAUCAAGAAGAAAGAUAUUGUUGUAAGUUUUGUAAUCUCCGUCCCCUUAUGUAUGUGUGUGUGUGUGUGAGAGAGAGAGAGAGAGAGAGACAGAGGAAUAUGUGAUAUGCUGGAAUCGGAAAAAGAGGUGGUGGCGGCGAAGUCGCCGAUGUGGGGUUGAGUUGUGAUUCUGCACUACUAGGUAGGGAGUAGUGAUUUGAAAUCAAGCUUUUUGUUUGUGUGGUUUGCACUUUAGUUGUCAAGAUAUUUCUUGUAUAAAUAUCUGUGUAUAUUUUUCUAAAGUUUGUAGAGUAAAUU